UACAGAGGUGGCAAGCGUUGUUCGGAAUUACUGGGCGUAAAGGGCGCGUAGGCGGUUCGUUAAGUCCUGUGUGAAAUCCCCCGGCUCAACUGGGGAACUGCACAGGAAACUAGCGGGCUUGAGUUCGGGAGAGGGAAGCGGAAUUCCGGGUGUAGCGGUGAAAUGCGCAGAUAUCAGGAGGAACACCGGUGGCGAAGGCGGCUUCCUGGUCCAGCACCGACGUUCAGGCACGAAAGCGUGGGGAGCAAACAGG
rnacentral:rRNA from 1 species